CCUACGGGAGGCAGCAGUGAGGAAUAUUGGUCAAUGGACGCAAGUCUGAACCAGCCAUGCCGCGUGAAGGAUGAAGGCCUUCUGGGUUGUAAACUUCUUUUAUCUGGGAAGAAACCUCCGAUUUCUAUUGGAGUCGACGGUACCAGAGGAAUAAGCACCGGCUAACUCCGUGCCAGCAGCCGCGGUAAUACGGAGGGUGCAAGCGUUAUCCGGAUUUACUGGGUUUAAAGGGUGUGUAGGCGGGCUAUUAAGUCAGUGGUGAAAUCUCCGAGCUUAACUUGGAAACUGCCAAUGAUACUAUUAGUCUUGAAUUUUGUUGAGGUAGGCGGAAUAAGUCAUGUAGCGGUGAAAUGCAUAGAUAUGACUUAGAACACCAAUUGCGAAGGCAGCUUGCUAAACAAAUAUUGACGCUGAGGCACGAAAGCGUGGGGAUCAAACAGGAUUAGAUACCCUGGUAGUCCACGCCCUAAACGAUGAUUACUCGACAUACGCGAUACACAGUGUGUGUCUGAGCGAAAGCAUUAAGUAAUCCACCUGGGAAGUACGACCGCAAGGUUGAAACUCAAAGGAAUUGACGG
rnacentral:rRNA from 1 species